GACGUAGGGCGCGAGCGUUGUCCGGAUUUAUUGGGCGUAAAGAGCUCGUAGGCGGCUUGUUACGUCGACUGUGAAAACCCGCGGCUCAACUGCGGGCCUGCAGUCGAUACGGGCAGGCUAGAGUUCGGUAGGGGAGACUGGAAUUCCUGGUGUAGCGGUGAAAUGCGCAGAUAUCAGGAGGAACACCGGUGGCGAAGGCGGGUCUCUGGGCCGAUACUGACGCUGAUGCACGAAAGCUAGGGGAGCAAACAGG
rnacentral:rRNA from 1 species